rnacentral:piRNA from 2 species
UGGAAAGAUGGCUCAGCGGUUAAGAGC